rnacentral:rRNA from 1 species
AGCAGCCGCGGUAAUUCCAGCUCCAAUAGCGUAUAUUAAAGUUGUUGCAGUUAAAAAGCUCGUAGUUGAAUUUCGGGAUCAAUAUGUCGGUCGUGCCUUCGGUACGUACUGGCAUCAUUGAUUUCCCCCUUCUGACGAACCACGAUGUCAUUAAUUUGGUGUCAUGGGGAGUCAGGACUGUUACUUUGAAAAAAUUAGAGUGUUUAAAGCAGGCUCACGCUUGAAUACAUUAGCAUGGAAUAAUGAAAUAGGACGUUUGACCCUAUUUUGUUGGUUUCUAGGAUCAACGUAAUGAUUAAUAGGGAUAGUUGGGGGCAUUAGUAUUCAAUUGUCAGAGGUGAAAUUCUUGGAUUUAUUGAAGACUAACUACUGCGAAAGCAUUUGCCAAGGAUGUUUUCAUUAAUCAAGAACGAAAGUUAGGGGAUCGAAGACGAUCAGAUACCGUCGUAGUCUUAACCAUAAACUAUGCCGACUAGGGAUCGGAUGAUGUUAAUUUUUAAUGACUCAUUCGGCGUCCG